ensembl:lncRNA
CAAUGGUAACCAGUCACACCCACUAUAUCAUCUUACAAAUAUUACAAAAUUACUACAGUACAAUAUAGAGUCUUUGCAUGAUCCAAAAUAUUUGGUGGCCCCAAAAGGAUUACGUUUUUAAAAAUUCAGCAGCUUAUUAAAAAGAAAAAAAAAAUCAAAAACCAUGCCUAUCAAAAUGAUGUUUCGCUUUUAUUAGCAAAAAAGAUGAAGGCAUAAUCUAAUCAAGUUUAAAGGCUAAUUGAAUUAUAGGAUACAGGAGCUCUUUGACUAGACAUUCCUUUAUAUUGGUGGAUGCUUUAUAGAGUAAAAAUUUUCAAUAAAGCUUCAUAGAAAGUCAAACUUAUCUGCAAACUUGUUUAGAACAGUGUUUUUAAAAUUGUCUAUCAAUUUCUUUGCUUUGAAAUGAAGUGUUUAUUUAGAUACAGUAUACUGUAUAUGUAUUGCAAAACAACAAAACCUCUAAGUAUUUGCUCUCAAGGCAUUGUGUAGAUAUUACACUAUUUACCGUCGUCUGAUAACAAUCACUUUUGACAAAAAGUACAUAAAGUAUGUGCCUGUUACCAUUUCUGAAUUGUUCUUACACCCCCUGCUUUCCAACUGUAAUCACAUUUGACAGCUGGCAGUGUUGCACACAUUGUUAUCACUAAAGUCAAUUAACACCCAUGGUUAUCCAUUUCUAAUAUGAAGGGCCAGCUUUUUUACUAACCUUUAGUUGUUGAGGAGAUGCAUAUAGGUGUACACAUUGGGGAAAUGAUAAAAAACAAGUAACACUGGACACUAACAACCUGAGGUUAACACAUAGAAAACACAUAUUCAAGUGGUGAAACACGACUACAAUGUAUAGCAGCAGUAAAGUCAGAAAUACAGCACAGUAACAAUGGGGAUUGUUUGGCGUGUUUAAGACCUACACUCUUUCAAUGAAAGAAAAACAGGACUGUGUACACACCCCAUCUAGCCAUCAUUACUCCAUUUUUUGCAUGCCAAACAGCUGGAAUGUGACAGACGAAAAUCACUUCAGAACAUAAAAUGAUGUGACACAUACAAGGAUUUGCCUCUGUAUUCCAUGAUGCAUUAUAUCCUGUAUUCACCGUUUAUCUCAUUAAAUGCUUAACCUAAGACCAGUUAUAUAUUUUAUAUUGAAUCUAACACACUACCUCCACAAUCUAACAACCCAAUUGCAUCAAGAUGCUUAUUGCAUUAGGUAAAUACGUUUUAGCAGCAAUACUUAAUUAAUAAUAAUCUGUGUUAACACUAAGGUUAUAUUCUAAAGUGUUUGGCUGCAUCAUUCAUUACAAGCACUUGCAAUUAAAAAUUUUAAGUGCAUGUCAUGUGCAUCGCAAAGGAUUAAAAUACUGCAGUUAUUACUCUGGCCAGCAGAGGACAUAUGACUGGCUGGGCAUAAAAAAAAGAAAACAAACAAAAAAAAUCUUCCUAUCUCCCCAAACCAUCAUGGAAUACACUCAGGCCAUCUGUAACUUAAACACUUGGAUAAUUAAAAAAUAGAACAGCGCAAAACAAGCAGAGACAUUAACAUUCUUGUACUUUCACAGUAUUUAAAAACUAUACAUCCAGCUAUGGGGUAAAAGUUUAGGGAGAACGCUCCAGCACGAUUCAUGUGAAGUUAUAAAAGUCCCAGUGUUGCAAUACAUAAAUGGUUACUUUUUAAAACUUGAAUUGAAGCUCCCCUUCCCUCCCGCGAUCCCCUUCCCACUAUAUGUUGGGGUGUGAGGGGCCACCAACAUGCAAGAGAUGAAAGCAUCCAAGUACCCCACAGUGACAACCACCCAAAACAUUACAGUCAUCCUCAAGAUCAUGCUUUGAGCACAAGAAGCCAAACAACCAAUAACAAAACUUCAGUACAUUGAGAAAUAAACAUAUUUAACAUUGAUUUGAUGGAUUGCAUGGUUCUGACAGCCAAAGUCACAAAAAAUCACUCAGACGGGAUUUGUGUUUGUUGUGGUUAAAGUCCGAUAAACAAAAAGAUCAAAUUGACCAACACACAGGAUGCCAACCUGCAUGCUUCUCCUUCGAUUUUCCUUUCACGAGGCUCAGACAAUAUGUAAGCAUCUAAAGCUUUGAUAUGCUUGCUGAUGAAUGUCCAUGUCACAUUCACACAAGACCAAAAACAGAGAUUCACUCCAACAUUACAUCACAGCCAAGAUUUUACACAUUUCAGAAAUUCAGUGUGUAAACCCUGUCAUGCUACAUUACAGCGGAUUGCCGUAAUUCUCUGGCAGAAGAAAUAAAAAUACUGUAAAUACAAAUUACAAGAUCAAAGAAGAACCUUAUCAAAGGGCAACAACAGCUGUCAAACGCAACACACAUCAUUAAAGUUCAACAGCUUUCCACAAUGAUAGAAGCAUGCUACCUAUUCUCAGAAAAGCUGCUCUUAAAUGAAAAUCUUGUGCUCUCCAGUGACAUAAUUAACAGCCUCUGCCCGGCUAAAGUAUAGGAAAUAAUCUGAUAACAAUGUAGGCAAUAACUUUUUUGUGGUGAUAUGCAGCAUUAUAAAGUGUAUUUUCCAGAGCUGGAGCCAAUAAAAUGCAUUGUCAAUAUCAGCUGCUAAUCCUUAGCUUUAAGCUAGCUGUAUUCAGAGAAAAUACAUCUCAAUGAACCUUCAACUUUACUCUAUAUUUCUUGUUUUAAGAACAGUCUUCUCCUCAUCAAUGCAUUAUCUGCCCUGUAGAUACUUUUCUGAAUUAACCUUUCAUCUUAGCUAACCAAAAUUAAAGAGCAAAUGCUUUACAGGGUUUUGCAAAGAUUUCUCCAUUUUUGCUUUUCAUUUCUUGAGAUAUUCAGGGAAUAAAUGGAGAGAAAAAAAGGUGAUAGAGUUCAUUAUUUCUGACUGAGAUGUAAUUACAUGAAUUUUCCUCCCAUGAUAAGGUUGUUCUGCCAGUCCCUUUCCCCCCUCAGCCUAUGCAUAGGGGCACUGAGAACUGCAGCUACCACCUCCCUCCCACCCCGUCCACCAGGUCGGGGAGGGGUCCGCACCCCUUCCCUUCCCUCAACAGGCAGACCCUUCCCCCCGAUAAAGGGUAACGUGUUCCCUGGGAUGGUUCCCCAUAUUGUCUCCCAUAGUGAAUGACCUGUGUAGAG